rnacentral:rRNA from 1 species
AGAUUGAACGCUGGCGGAAUGCUUUACACAUGCAAGUCGAGCGGCAGCGCGGGGCAACCUGGCGGCGAGCGGCGAACGGGUGAGUAAUGCAUCGGAACGUGUCCAUGUCGGUGGGGGAUAGCCCGGCGAAAGCCGGAUUAAUACCGCAUACGCCCGAGAGGGGAAAGUGGGGGACCGCAAGGCCUCACGCGAUUGGAUCGACCGAUGUCCGAUUAGCUA